AACCGAUAGGUUCUUCCUGGAUAACCACUCGCAGGAUCAGCUCUCAUAUUCAUAUUAGUCAUUGGCACUUUGGUGUAUGACUCAAGGUACCAAGUCAUAGGCAAUUUUCCACCUGGAUUUUGAUAUCCGAAAAUUAUCUCGGAUAGUGCUUUGCCACCAGUCUCUCCAGGGUAAGCAACCCAUAAGAUACUAGCAAUUCUUGGGUCUUCCUCAGCAAAG
rnacentral:misc_RNA from 1 species